CCAUUGACGUCAUAGGGUGGCACAUGCGCCCUAGAUAGCGUCGCCAUUAUUCGCGAAGGGGAGUGAGAAUCUUGAAUAACACAACGCGGCACGCUGUUACAGCGGGCAGACGUAUCGCAGAUCCGAGCAGAAGACAAAUAACGCGGGAACUCGACCCCGUUCGCGAUGGCAGCGAUGUGGUUCCUCACGCUCGCGUUAGUCCUCGUGAGUUCGUCUCACGUGCUCGCAGCUCCAGCACACACAGGCAAUGACGGAUCGAGCGGCAAAUCGGACGUACCAGUGGAGCAACUUGAAAAACUAAAAAUGGCUGAGUCCGGUAAGGAAGGGGAGAUGAAUAGCGAGCACGUAGAAUAUCACCGACUUGAUGCAGUUCAAGCCAAUGGGGAGCUGGUAUCAAGGCUAGAACAACAUGCAUCAGCUGACGCAGUAGGGAAUGAGAAGCCGCACGUGCACGCUCAGGCGCAGCUUGACGUGCCCUCUGAAGGCGUUCAUCGCGUGCUUGUACAAGAUGGCGGCCAUGUGAGCGUGCACGACGCGACUGUACCCACUACCGCGGCGAGUGAGGAAGUUACUACGAAGGUAUUCCACGGGGCCGCUCGCCUGGUACAGCCGGGACAAGCAACCAACGUACCUACGGGUCCCCACACGGCUGUGCGAAGAGCAUUCAACGCAGACAUUACUAAGGAGACUAAGAACAACAUGGAUCAUUAUGCUGCGUAUUCGGGCGUCCAGUACUCUCCCCUAGAUAUGGCGGAGUAUGUUUUCUGGACAGGAGACGAGCGAGGCGUGACCACGGCUAUUGAAGCUUUUCUUCAGGAAGGAAUGAUGUCAAAGGAAGAGGCUAUCGGCUUUCUACAAGAGAUAAAAUUCAACAUCGAUUACCUGCGAGCGCACUAUUCUCAGAAUUUGAGGGCAGCCGAGGAAAGCGCUCAACAGGAGAAGUUGAGGAAUAUGCUUAUAGAGCAAGCCGAAGCGAAGGAAUACCCAUACCGCACCAGCAGCGGCCCAUCUCUCCAGUCGUUCCCAUUCGGCAGCAGCCCCGACAUCAUCCGAACGAUUGCCAACAAGAACUGGGAGUUGAGCAACAAUCUGUCGCCCGUCCCAGCGUUGCCCGUCAGUAGUGAUCUGCGGCCCGAAGCUAUGAAGAGGACCUACGAUCCUAUGAUGCAGCAGAGCAAUUUGAGGGCACAAGAAUACGAGCGCGACGGCCAAUUCGCUGACGAGGAGUAUGAAGAAAUUAUGGAAAAACUGAAUAAGCCAACCAGCAUCCCAUACAAUGAAUACACGCUGGAAGAGAUUAUCUAUCAACUGGCUAAGAUGAUGUUUUCUCAGUCUUUAUCGCGAGACCCUGCUUCCGCGCGGUCGGCUACUCGACGAUUCAUGGCCUUCCUUGAGCUUCAGGCGGAGAGGGGACAACUAUCGCGCACUAUUGAGAAGAAAGUACUUGACUUAAUGAUCGCAGCUCUGACAGACACAAUAAGCGAUCACCCGGAGUACCUGUCGUCCCGCGACGCGAUGGCCGCCACCCAGGCUAAUAGGCAAACACUUUAUCCAUUUUCUCUAGAAUAAUGCUGUAGUGGCCACACUUUCGCACACACAAGAUAAAAAGCAAAAAUCCACGACGAAGUUUAUGGGACAUUACUACGACAUCAAAACAGAAAAGCCAAACCUGUCUCGUGAAAUUCUUACUGCGUACAAAAACGAGCUUCUGAAAGGCCAAUCACUGCACACGACGGGUUACCCAGAAAAUUAUCAAUAUUAAUACUUA
rnacentral:misc_RNA from 1 species